ensembl:lncRNA
CCCGCCCCUCCCCGCUCCAGCCCGAGCCGGCGCGGAGGUCGCCGGCCUCCCUGCGGACUCUGACCCUGGGCCGGCGCCGCAGACGCUCUCGGCCCCCAGCCCCCUCCGCUGCCCUCCUCCGGGCCUUCUCCCGCAAAGGUUCCGAGAGUCGCCGACGCUCCCCGCCGGCGGAGCAGGAUCGGGAAGGUCCAUACCUUUCCCUGCGGCCCCCGUUUACAGAUCGGUAGACUGAGGCCCAGAACGGUGCGCAGCGUCUGUCAGGCCACCGGGCGGUGGCAGAGCCCUGGCCCCUUACACGCCCUGACCCCAACCUCGCCCGAGGCAGUUGACUGUAAUCUCGUCAAAAGUUCCUUCCUCACCCUCCUUCCUACCACCUCCCCCUACCCCCGCUCCCCGCAGAUCCGCCUGGAAAGUAUAACCUGGAGAAGAACCAGAGAAAAGCAUCUCCCUGUCCUGGGAUGGGCUCACCAGAUGUUCCCCAGAUGUUUGCUGAUGAUGAGAAACAUCUUCCUCUGGGAUCACAACUUACAGGAUCUGAUGUGAAGAGGAUGCAAAAAAUUUCAGUGGGCUUCCUGCCACUAUUUGACAAAGUUUCAUAAGAGAUGAUGCCUCUGGGACUAAAGAAGAUGAUUACCAACUAACAAAAUUCCAUUUUCAGAUACUGGAGAUACAAAAAUAAGCAAAGAAGAAGUGGUUGGCAUGGAGAUGAGAUUCAGUGGAGGAAGACUUGGCUGUGGAGAUGGCACUUUCCAAAGACGAUCACAUAGAACGUUACCUCUCCCUCAUCAAAAGGUAUUCAGUCUACGCAGACUUGUGACUCAUUUGUAACCAACAGAAUGCAGCCCAGGUGAUUUUGUGUGACUUCUGUGGCCAGAUCAUAAAAGGUGAUGCAACUUCUACCUUGUUAGUUGGGACACAUGCCUUUAGAAACUUGAAAUAAAAUGCAAGAAAUCCAGCCACUCUGAGAAUGCCAUACUUUGAGGAGGCCCAGGCCACAUGGAGAGGCCAUGCAUAUGUGGUUUGUCUGACAUCCCAGCUAAGGUCCCAGCCAGUAGCCAGCAUCAAUUGCCAGGCAUUUGAGUGAGAGUUUUCAGACCCUAACUGUCCAAUUACCCCCAGCCUUAGACUGAGGCUAAGUUGAGGCCCCACACAUCAUAGCAGAGAGACAAGCCAUGUCCAGUGUGUUCUAUCCAAAUUGCUGACCCACAGAAUUCAUGAGCAUCAUAAAAUGGUUUUCUAGACCACUAAACUUGGGGUGGUUUGCUAUGCAGGAAUAGUAUCCAGAACACUGACAUUAAACAAGCAAAUAUGUGAACAAAGAUAAUUUUAUAUUGUAAUAGGUCCUCAGGAAAACAAAACUAACUCAGCAUGUUAACUUGGAGGAAGGCCUCUAUAGAUGGGGAAGGGGGCGGCAUAAGUGGGGGAGGCAAGGGAGGUAUAGAUCAAGAAAGGUCUUUUUGGAGAGACAUUUGAGCUGGAAUGUGAGUGAGAAAGAGCCCAACCACUAAAGAUCUGGGAGAAGAGACUUCUGGGCAGAGGAUACAGCAGGUGCAAAGGCCCUGAGGCAGGAAUCAGUUUGGUGUUCUGUGAAACUCAGGAAGGCCAGUGUAACUAGGUAGAUGUGGGUGAGGAGGAGAGUGGGGCAAAGAAGUUGGAGAGGAAGCUUGAGAGGCAAAUCAUUCUAGUCUUAGAGGCUGCUGAGAAGAGUUAGAUUUCAGACUGAGCGAGCUGAAAGCUUGCAGAGGGUAUUAUACAGGAGUGACUUGGUCUGGUAAAUUCUUGAUAAGGGCUUUAGGUGCCAGGUAGAUGACAGUCUGUAAAGACAGG